GAAACCAGCCCAAGAUAAUGAGAUGCGAGCAGCGUUUCGACACCUGUUUAUCCUGAUCGGUAGCUAAACACGGCUCAUUGCGUUUCUCCUUCUGUCCCGGAGGUUGUGUCCUAAACUGGGAUGUUUUCUUCUUUGUCGCGUGUGUGUAGGAGCCCAAGCCGCCUGCGUACCAGCCGUCGCAAUAUGGACCUUGCCUCUAUGAGAUGAAACAGUUCUUGGAAUGUGCUACCAAUCAGAGCGAUCUGACCUUGUGCGAAGGCUUCAACGAGGCGCUGAAGCAGUGCAAAUAUAACAAUGGUGUGUCUUCCCUCCUGUGAAGAAAUUCAGCGCUACCCGCAGGGAAAGGAGAGCCAGAAAAGAAUGGAAGAGCAAGGAAGGAAGAGCUAGUGACCAAAGUAACCGGUGGAAGGGAAGACUAGUCCGGCCGGAGCAAAGAGCCACAUAGAGCUAAUUCGCUUCUAGAAGUGCCAGGAAAGACCGAUGGUUGGAAUUUGAGGCUUUCAGAAUCCAGAUCACAUUUUAAUGCCUAGAUCUAAUAAAAGCAGAUGGUUUAUUUUAAUUGA